rnacentral:rRNA from 1 species
GAUGAACGCUGGCGGCGUGCCUAAUACAUGCAAGUCGAGCGAGAAGUCACAUUACUGAUUCUUCGGAAGAAGUAAAGUGAUGGAAAGCGGCGGACGGGUGAGUAACGCGUAGGCAACCUGCCUCUCACAGGGGGAUAGCCAUCGGAAACGGUGAUUAAUACCCCAUAAAGUCAAAAUAACACAUGUUAAGCUGACCAAAGAUUUAUCGGUGAGAGAUGGGCCUGCGUCUGAUUAACUAGUUGGUGAGGUA